ensembl:lncRNA
AAAGUGUAGUUGAUUUACAGUGUUGUGCCAAUUUCUGCUGUACAGCAAAGGGACCCAGUCAUACUUAUAUAUAAGUUCCUUUUCUUAUAUUAUCUUUCAUGGUGGUCUAUCCCAAAAGACUAGAUAGAGUUCCCUGCACUAUAAAAUAGGACCUCAUUGCUUAUCCACUCUAAAUGUAAUAGUUUGCAUCUACUAACCCCAAACUCUCCGUCCAUCCCACUUCCUCUCCCCUUCCCCCUCCUUCUUGACAACCACAAGUCUGUUCUCUAUGUCUGUGAGUCUGCUUCUGUUUUGUAGAUCAGUUCUUUUUGUGCCAUAUUUUAGAUCUCACAUAUAAGUGAUAUCAUAUGGUGUCUCUUUCUGACUUACUUCACUUAGUAUGAUAAUCUCUAGUUGCAUCUAUGUUGCUGCAAAUGACAUUAUUUUGUUCUUUUUAUGGAUGAGUAGUAUUCCAUUGUAUAUAUGUACCACACCUUCUUAAUUCAUUCACCUUACAGUGGACAUUCAGGUUGCUUCCAUGUCUUGGGUUUUGUGAAUGGUGCUGUUAUGAACACAUACGUGCCUGUAUCCUUCUGAGUUCAAUUUUGUCUGGAUAUUUGUUCAGGAGUGGGAUUGCUGGAUCAUUUGGUAGUUCUAUAUUUAGUUUUCUGAGGAACCUCCAUACUGUUUUCCAUAGUGGUUGUAUCAAUUUACAUUCCUUCCAACAGCAUUCUUGAUCUGUCUAAAUGAAAAUCUGGAGUUCCCAUUGUGGCUCAGUGGCAGCAAACCCAACUAGUAUCCAUGAGGAUGCAGGUUUGGUCCCUGGCCUUGUUCAGUAGGUUAAGGAUACAGCAUUGCAGUGAGCUGUAAGCUGUGGUGUAGGUCACAGAUGUGGCUUGGAUCUCGCAUUGCCGUGGCUGUGGUAUAAGCUAGCAGCUGCAGCUGUGAUUGAAACACUAGCCUGAGAACUUCCAUAUGCUGUGGACACGGCCCUAAUUAAUUAAUUAAUUAAUUAAAAUGAAAAUCUGAUCAUGUGACUUUCCCUGCCUAAAAUCCUUCACUGGAUUUUCAUUACUCUUGGAAUAACACCAAAAUUCUCUAGUGAGCCUCUUCAGGAUCCUCUGCCUGCUUUUCUAUCUUUCUCAUGCCUCCCUCUCCCACAUUCGACUUUCUUCAGUUCCCUCCAAAGCCCCACCUCCUUCCCCCUGAAGAGCCUUUACUCAGGAUGUUGCUUUUGCUUGAAAUAUUCUUCCCCUCCUUAUGCCUCCUUUGACUUAUUUAGCUAUGACUCAAAUGUUACAUUUUGGGGGAAGCAAGCCUUGCCUGAAUCUUCAGACUUGCUAACAUUUCCCACUCAUGUAUACUCAUACUUUUUCAUAGAGCUUAUACAAUUGUAAUUAAUUAUCUGUUUGUAAACAUAUUUGAUUCAAGUAUAUCUCCUUUAUUGGCCAAAAGUUUCAUGAGCGCAAGAACCAUGUCUAUCUUGCACACCAUUGUACCUCAUGACUUUCGAGGGAACUUAAUAAAGGUUGGUCGAAUGAAUGAAUAGUAUAUGAUUUGUAGGUAAGGGUAAAAGACACCUCCCUCUUUCUUUU